UGGAAGUCUUCCCAUGUGGUCAACCCUAAUGGCCGGUAAUUUAGUUAUGGAAACAGUUCUUUCUACAACAUAGAGACUUGGCUCAUAUAUGUACAACCAUAUAUGAUAAUAUAGACUUGAAAGUAAAAGCAAUCCACUAUACCAGUUUGAAGUUGAUAAUCUCUCUCAAAUGUCUGAGAAACGGGACAGUGCAAGUUUCCCAGAUAAAGAGACGAAGAAGAAGAUGAAGCUUGAUAUUUCUUCAUCGAGCAGGUCGGCCUCUGAUGUUAACAAGAAGGAGAUGCCU
rnacentral:lncRNA from 1 species